CACCUCCAGUCAGUUUGAAGACACAUGGACUUUGGCACCAGAAGCUCCUCAAGCUUUGGUGACUUACAGCUGCAUGUGUUGUUUUGCAAAGGAGGUGUCGGCCCUUAUGUUUCUCAUUUCAGAAACAAUGAGGAUAUAACGGAGACCAAAAUGAAAUCCUCCCUGGAGUUGCCAAGAAUGAUGGAUAACUGCAAGAAAAUAUUAUUCUAUGGCUCUGGAAAAGGAAGAUCUACUUUCUUAGUAACCUGGCGCCUGAUUCGGGACGCAGCGACCGUCCCCUCCUGCCACCAGCUCCCGGGAGGAGCCAGCUGCCUGCCUGCAACCGGGCGAGGAUGGAGCCGGAGCCGUGGAGCAGCGAGGAGGGAGGGAGGCGAGCGACGGCAGAUUCCUCCGGCAUCUCCACACCGCGGGGCUCUUGGCGAGCGAGUGCUCGUCUGCUUUGAAAGCUCUUAGUGCUCCUGCAGGUGGGAGCCAAUUUGUCUGCUUUCCUGCCCAGGUGCCAUCUGUUUGUAGGAUUGCCUGUGCGCUGGAUGAGCACGACGGGGAUGGCGAAGGGAAAGGGCUGCUGGGCUGGGAAAGAUGAGCCUAAAACUUUCCUUGAGUAUCUUCAGCGCUUCUGGCUGCCGUUGUUCUCUCUCCCCUGCAUCGCAGCGGGGAAAUCGGAGCCUGUCAUUUGCUGUUCCCGGAGCGUAGAGGGGAGCUGAGGCACUGCUAAUAGCAAACUAUCAUUCUAAUGCUAAUUUCCUACCAUUAGCUCAGGCUGGGGGAGGCUCAGCCUGGGUGGAGGGAAGCCAUUAGCAGAUGGAGAAGGGGAGAUGUGUGCGGAUUUGUUCUGCACCCCCAGAAGGGAUUUUCAGAGGGCAGAUGAUUAACCACCACUGGGCAAAUUGGUAACACGAGCUAGGUUCGGUCUCUGGUGGACGUGGGAGGAAGGGAGAGGAUGCUUUGUUCCAAGUUGUCCUUCCUCUAAGGAUUUUCUGAGUGCUUCAGGCUUUGGCUUGAGUUUGGUCUUAGCUGCUUGUUGCCAGCCUUCCUGUGUUGUGACCCAAGGGAUGCUCAGAGCGCUGGCAGGGCUGCAGCUGGUGGCACCAAUGUCCUUUCAACAAAGGAGCCGAGCAGGGUUGGGUUUAGCUGCUGUCUUUUUGGGAGGAGCUUCCCAGUUCAGGAGCCUGGACAUCUGUGUUUGGUGGCAGGCUUCAAAGCAGGGAAAUUUUGAAUCCACCCUUGAGAUACCCAAGAGCUAAAAAAGAAACCUGUCCUUUUGCC
rnacentral:lncRNA from 1 species